AACAUCCUUCUCUCCAAAGUGGAAAGAUGUGGAUUUGAUGGGUGGACUGUUCAAUGGAUGAAGAACUGGCUGCAGGAUCGAGUCCAGAGAGUGGUGGUCAAGGCAACAUCCACUACCAAUACAAGCUAGGGGAAGAAAGGAUUGAGCAUACCUCUGCUGAAAAGGACCUGGGAGUACUGGUAGAUAGAAAGCUGGACAUCAUCCGGCAGUGUGCUCUCGCAGCUCAGAAAGCCAGCCUGUGUCCUGGGCUGCAUCAAAAGAAGCAUGGCCAGCAGGUUGAGGGAUGUGAUCCUACCCCUCUAUUCUGUGAUGUUGAGGCCUCACCUGGAGUACUGUGUCCAGAUGUGGAGUCCUCAGUACAGGAGAGACAUAGACCUGUUGGAGCGCGUCCCAAGAAGGGCCACAAAAAUGAUCCAAGGAAUGGAACACUUCUCCUAGGAGGACUGGCUGAGAGAGCUGUACCUCUUCAGCCUGGGGAAGAGAAGGCUCCAGGGAGAACUGAUAGUGGCCUUUCAGUAUCUAAAGGGGAGCUACAGGAAAGAAGGGGACGGAAUCUUUUGCAGUGACUAUGGUGACAGGACAAGGUGAAAUCGUUUCAAACUUAGGGUAGAUUUAGACUGGAUGUAAGGAAAAAGUCUUUUGCAGUGAGGGUAGUGAGACACUGAAACAGGUUGCCCAGGGAUGUGGUUGAUGCCCCAUCCCUGGAGACUUUCAAUGUGUGGCUGCACAAGGCUGUGAGCACCCUGAUCUAGCUGUCAGUGACCCUGUUCACUGCAGGGCAGUUGCCAAUAUAACCUUUAAAGGUCCCUUCCAACUCUAAGGAUUCUAUCAUUGUAUGAAAUACUUCCUUAUUGUAGAAUAAUAUAAUAUUCUACAUUUUUUUCACAUGUAGUGUUGUUUUUUUUGUUUGUUUAUAGUUAUCACUGGCAAUUCAUAGUUUGCAGUUCUUGGUGUCUCAAAGGAAACAUUUUCUCUUUUGAAUGAAGAUUGUACAAAAUGGUGAAUUUCUAAAACAAUUUUGAGAGCAGGAAUACCUAUAUUUAUUAUGAUUAGUUUCUCAAAAGGGUGCACAGUAGGUUGCUAAUGUAAAGUGUGAUUGCAGGGCUAAACAAAAUGUAUCGUUUAAAUUUUAAAAUUGUCCAUGCCUACUGCUGUUGAGUUUUAUGAAUGCAUUUUAGAAUAAGAAACAACAUCAACUUUAAAUUAUUAUUACUAAUUUUUAUAUUGUAAAGCUUUACAGCUGCUAAAGAAAUACAUGGAAUUCUCACAUCCUUCAAGUCAAUAGUUUUGAUUUGUAUUAAUUUCCAUUUUACCAUAUUUUUAAUGUUUAAAGUAAGGGUUAAAAACCUUUUCAAUAUAGAUUUUUGUUUUAUUUGAUAAAUGCAGAGGAAGUUGCUAAUGCAUAUUAAUUCCUUUUAAUAAUAGUCACAGUUCUGUAUCAUGUUCUUAUCUAAUUCACAGUUCAGAGAGGUGUUUUGUCCUUUACUUGACAAUAAAUGAGAUUUUAGAGUAGAAAAUUCAUCCAUUAAUACUUUUUGUUAUGAAACCCACUGUUUUUCACGAGUUAGUUAUCAAGUGUAUUAAUAAGUAUCUGUCAAAUGAGUUGAAAGUGAAAUUAAAUCCGUAGUGUCACAAGCAUCAUUUCAGUAGUGCAGUCACAGCGUACUCCUGUAAGCUUCCUAGUCAGCUUUUGAUCCACAGAUUGCAAUAUGCAGUAUCUUCAUACUUUACUUAAAACAGUAAUUUUUUAAGCUUAAUGGAGCAUUUAAGGUUUCUAGCUCCAGUUUUUAAUCAAUAGGAAGUUGUCCUUUGUGUGUUCUAAAUGACUACAGUUUUUAAAGCCUAGUCUUUCCAGUCUGUUAAUUGGAAAGUGAAAUGGAAAAUCAAAACUUUGGACCCAGGAGAAAGAACUACAGUUUCUGCAUUCAUAUUUUUAGCUGUGAAUUGCUAGUAACUCAACUGUGCAGUGUACAGAGUUAUGUUUAUAUCAUAUACACUGGUGCACAAAAGCAAGUGUUUGCCUUGAUGAGUUACUAUAUAACAAAUAAUUAUUUAGUCCAAACUCCGUGUUAAUUUUAUCUUCUUUCACUAUACAGGGCAAUAUCAAAGGGAAAAAAAUCAAAGGAAAAAAGUCUUAUCAACAAGUAAGGAAUUAUUAGAACAGAGGGAAAAAAAAAGGCAAUGAGGAUCAAUGAAACCAGUUGUUUAACUUCUUCUCUUAACCUGUAAAUAUUUCAUCUUUAAUACCUCAGUCCCUGUUUGCUUACCAGGAACAUAGCAUUUACCUGAAUGGAUAGCCAUGGAAUCCUUCCAUUUAAUUUCCCUACCUGAUGGAAAAGAUAGAGAAAAAAUGCGUAUCAAAUGCAGUCUUCUUAAUGAUAAUCAGACUUCUACGUUUAUCACUUACAUGAAUAUAUUUUAACUUUUGCUGCUGUAUAUGUUUACAUUUGUAACAAUAUCAGACUUUUUAUUUUUUAUUUUUUUUCCUCUUUAUUAUAUUUUGUCUGAAAAAAGUAUGUUAAAGGUUUAAGCCCUCAACACUCAACUCAUAGUAUUAUUGGACUGACUGUUUUCUGAAGUGUAGUUAUCUUCACUGAGAUGUGGACACAAAUGAGACAGAAUCCUGUCUUUUAAUUUUUUUUUUUUGAGAAAAUAUUACUAAGAUAUUGUUUUAUUUCAUUAUUUAUUAAUUUCUUGUCUAACUUCAUUUUUUAGCUUAAGGAAAUAAAAAACGGGGCUGUAUUGCAGUGUGUGAAAGAAAAAUUCAUGGAAAUACAAGACUUUUUAAAUCCAUCAGCUAUAAAGAGAUUUUUAUCAAAGUAGAAUUUUGUUAAUAAGGUUAGCUUUACAGGUAGGAGACUUUUAAGGCCACUGGGAUGGAAGAAAACAAAUCGAAAAUGCUGCAUUGUCUGAUUUGUUGGCAAGAAGGUAUGAAGAUCUGCCAAGAAAUGGGUCU